CUAUACGGUGAAACUGCGAAUGGCUCAUUAAAUCAGUUAUCGUUUAUUUGAUAGUACCUUACUACAUGGAUAACCGUGGUAAUUCUAGAGCUAAUACAUGCUAAAAACCUCGACUUCGGAAGGGGUGUAUUUAUUAGAUAAAAAACCAAUGCCCUUCGGGGCUCCUUGGUGAAUCAUAAUAACUUAACGAAUCGCAUGGCCUUGCGCCGGCGAUGGUUCAUUCAAAUUUCUGCCCUAUCAACUUUCGAUGGUAGGAUAGUGGCCUACCAUGGUAUCAACGGGUAACGGGGAAUUAGGGUUCGACUCCGGAGAGGGAGCCUGAGAAACGGCUACCACAUCCAAGGAAGGCAGCAGGCGCGCAAAUUACCCAAUCCCGACACGGGGAGGUAGUGACAAUAAAUACUGAUACAGGGCUCUUUUGGGUCUUGUAAUUGGAAUGAGUACAAUUUAAAUCCCUUAACGAGGAACAAUUGGAGGGCAAGUCUGGUGCCAGCAGCCGCGGUAAUUCCAGCUCCAAUAGCGUAUAUUAAAGUUGUUGCAGUUAAAAAGCUCGUAGUUGAACCUUGGGCCUGGCUGGCCGGUCCGCCUCACCGCGUGUACUGGUCCGGCCGGGCCUUUCCUUCUGGGGAACCUCAUGCCCUUCACUGGGCGUGUUGGGGAACCAGGACUUUUACUUUGAAAAAAUUAGAGUGUUCAAAGCAGGCCUUUGCUCGAAUACAUUAGCAUGGAAUAAUAGAAUAGGACGUGUGGUUCUAUUUUGUUGGUUUCUAGGACCGCCGUAAUGAUUAAUAGGGAUAGUCGGGGGCAUCAGUAUUCAAUCGUCAGAGGUGAAAUUCUUGGAUUGAUUGAAGACUAACUACUGCGAAAGCAUUUGCCAAGGAUGUUUUCAUUAAUCAGUGAACGAAAGUUAGGGGAUCGAAGACGAUCAGAUACCGUCGUAGUCUUAACCAUAAACUAUGCCGACUAGGGAUCGGACGGUGUUAGUAUUUUGACCCGUUCGGCACCUUACGAGAAAUCAA
rnacentral:rRNA from 1 species